ACCCCAUCAAAGGUCCAAGAAAAUACAAACAAAAUUUAAACAUUGUGAGAAGGUUGUGCAGUGUGACUUUCCAAGCUAUAAACCGAAGGUUUGCAGCAUUGCAGUUCAGUGAAAUAGAUAUCUUGAGGAAGUGAGAGAUAAUUCUAAACUAUGCAGAGUGAUAAGUAUGAGCACGGAUGAGCAAGAUGAUCUUUGUGUUCCCUCCAGUGUGGAUGAAAAUGAAGACAAAGACAA